CCUAACCCAGCGGAUUAGUCUUACUCUUUGCUGCAUCUCCGGCAGCUCGUUUCUGGCACAGGGAAGUAACAGUUUGACUGUAUGGUUUGCUCAUGCGGUCCUGUGACGUUUUCUCCUAAGCCCUGGCCUCCGUCUGUAACUCUGCCUCUGCGGGCUCUGCGAUCCUCCCACCUCAGCCUCCUGAGUAUCUAGGACUACAGGAAAAAUGGACAUUUUCCUCUCCCCCUAAAAAAAGAUAAAACUCCUUCCUGGUUAUUAACUGAAAUGCUGAUCGAGCUUUAUCCUAAAGAAGAUCAGUCGUGGACAAGAACCUUGUGAAAUGUUCCCCAUUUGAGACCCUAAAACUAAUGAAAAUCACAGCUUUUGGAUAAACAUUGACGAUCUUGAGGAUGACCCUGUGGUGAACGGGGAGAGGUCUGGCUGUGCGCUCACAGACGCUGUGGCACCAGGGAACAAAGGAAGGGGUCAGCGUGGAAACACAGAGAGCAAGACGGAUGGAGAUGACACCGAGACAGUGCCCUCAGAGCAGUCUCAUGCAAGUGGCAAACUCCGGAAGAAGAA
rnacentral:lncRNA from 1 species